AAAAUAGCUUGUGAGAGAGACCACGGUUGAUCUGUGGACAUGUUCAAACAGGGUGUGAAUGAGUUUAUUAGCAAAAAGCUGAAAAUAGCUAUGAGCUGGCUUUUGUCCCUCUUCACAGAGUUUGAAUACCAGGGAGUAGCAAAACUCAAAUGUUCUGCAUGCUGCUGCCUAAGUACCUUCAAGUGAUUUUAUCACACGCACUAUGACAUCUCUGUUAGUGUGGAUAUGCAAAGUUAAUGUGACUAAUACCCAAGCUGCUGAGAAGUCUUCAGCCAAAGCAGCGUGUAGCUUGCUUCUUUCUAAGAAUACUGAGGACCAACACUUAAUUCUGAAAAAUCUACUCCCAUUUAUUAAUGGAUGUGCAACUAAUUCCUUAAUAUAAGUAAAUUGCUGGUGAAACGUGCUGGGCUAGGAAGCUUGAAAUUGUCUCAGAAUGAGCAGUAUGGCUUCAUCCUUAUGUCAGGGAAUCAAAGGAUAAAUCCAGCUUUCCAGUGUGUGGAAGGGAGAAAUUAGGACUGGUUUUGAACUAUUGCAUGGUCUGACAUUCUGUAGAGUGGAAGUGAAUGGGAUUAAUGUCUGCUAUUCCUGAAAUACAGCCACUUCCGAGAUGAAAUACAGUAUGUAUUUCAUAGUUCAAAUGAGUACAAUCAGAUCUUCAGGAAAGGAAGUGGAGGGAAACUCCUCAGCUGAAACCACAGAGGGAAUUAACCAAAUUGGGAUGUGGAUAGAGCAUUGCAGCUCCUACUUAAAAUUAAAUGCUCUUUGGUUGUUUCUGAAGACCACAGUAACAUUAAUUACUGCCAUUAGAAAUUUUGCCAUUACCUCUUACAUAAAUACUUUCUUCCAAGAAUCUACAAAUCUCUUUAUAAAGGGGGUCUUAUCUUUAUCUCUGUUUUACAGGUGUGAAAAUGAGGAACAGAAAUUGAACAUCAUCCAAGAGUGGCAUAACUGGAAAUCAAAAUCCACAUCUGCUUCGUCAUGGCCUCGGUGUAGGGAUUGCCUGGCCACACAUCCGAACAAUGCCUUCUGAGCCAGCCAUGAGAUUUUCCUGCAGGAAAUGAAGAACUGGAUGUGCAGACACAGCUGUCCCUCAAGCAAGAGGCCCUUUCUGUUUGCCCUCACUCAUUUGUCAUCCCAUGACCUGCACUGCAGGCAGAAGGAAAGAAAACUCUUGGGCUGGUUCAAAGUUGGUGUUUCUAUCCAAAAUCCAGAAAUAGAUACUGUAAAUAACACUCGUGAUGCAGUCCUUUAGUGCUGCAGAGAAAGACUAUGCUGUAAUUACUUCCAGUGGGACAGAAAAUCUGUUAGUGCUUGUAUGCUGUAAGAGGGAAGGAGAACGUGUGUGCCCACCACCCCUUUGCCAGGUUGGGCUUUGCUCGAGGUGUUAUAGCUACUGCCCUACCCCAUGCUCCCAACCCUUGGUUCUGCACCCAUCUCGUGGAUUGCUGAAACAGGAGUGAAAAUGAGACCGCACAGAAGGAGCCCUUGAAUACGUGCCUAUCUCCGUAUCAGCACCCGCUUGGAGUAACACAAGAGGUACAAAGAAUGUCCUGCAGGCAGAGAGAGACUGCAGCUAUUUCACAUGGACAGGGGAGAUAAUCAGUGAAUUGAUGGUCCUUGUGGAAUGGACUUAGGCACUUACAGAAAUCUACACUUGGAUGAUUUUUUUGUUUAUUUUUGAAUAUUUCCUGACAGCUGGUGCUGGAAUUUUUGUUCUCUGUCGAGUAAACCCCUCUUAUUGCCCUUGUUAGAUACAAGCAGAUGAACCGUGCAGCUAGCAGGCAGCAUGCAGAGCAUUUGGGGGGGGGGGGGGGAAACUGCCCCUUACUAGAUGUGCUGUUACAGGCCGGAGUUGUAAAAAUAAAUAAAAUAAAAAAAUAUAUUAAUAAUAAAGU
rnacentral:lncRNA from 1 species